GAAAUGCGAUAAGUAAUGCGAAUUGCAGAAUUCAGUGAAUCAUCGAAUCUUUGAACGCACAUUGCGCCCGCUGGUAUUCUGGCGGGCAUGCCUGUCUGAGCGUCAUUUCAACCCCUCGCCCCCCGGCUCCUGUCAGGGGCGGUGUUGGGGAUCGACCGCCUGUAACUCCCAGGCGGUCGGCCCCUAAAUCCAUCGGCGACCACGCUGUGGCCCUCCUCUGCGCAGUAGUAACGACCUCGCAGUUGGAGCGCCCCGGCACCGGCCUGCCCUGCGGCACCACACAAGAACAAAGUUGACCUCAGAUCAGGUAGGGAUACCCGCUGAACUUAA
rnacentral:misc_RNA from 1 species